AACGAACGCUGGCGGCAUGCCUAACACAUGCAAGUCGAACGAUCCCUUCGGGGAUAGUGGCGCACGGGUGCGUAACGCGUGGGAACCUGCCCUUAGGUUCGGAAUAACUCAGAGAAAUUUGAGCUAAUACCGGAUAAUGUUUUCGGACCAAAGAUUUAUCGCCUUUGGAUGGGCCCGCGUUGGAUUAGCUAGUUGGUGGGGUAAAGGCCUACCAAGGCGACGAUCCAUAGCUGGUCUGAGAGGAUGAUCAGCCACACUGGGACUGAGACACGGCCCAGACUCCUACGGGAGGCAGCAGUGGGGAAUAUUGGACAAUGGGCGAAAGCCUGAUCCAGCAAUGCCGCGUGAGUGAUGAAGGCCUUAGGGUUGUAAAGCUCUUUUACCCGGGAUGAUAAUGACAGUACCGGGAGAAUAAGCCCCGGCUAACUCCGUG
rnacentral:rRNA from 1 species